CCUACGGGGGGCAGCAGUGAGGAAUAUUGGUCAAUGGAGGCAACUCUGACCCAGCAACGCCGCGUGAAUGAUGAAGGUCUUCGGAUUGUAAAGUUCUGUGAUGGGGGAUGAACACAAUGACGGUACCCCAAUAGCAAGCCACGGCUAACUACGUGCCAGCAGCCGCGGUAAUACGUAGGUGGCAAGCGUUAUCCGGAAUGACUGGGCGUAAAGGGUGCGUAGGUGGUUUAGUAAGUUGGCGGUGUAAUUCCGGGGCUCAACCUCGGCGCUACCGCCAAAACUAUUAGACUAGAGUGCAGGGGGGGUAAGUGGAAUUCCUAGUGUAGCGGUGGAAUGCGUAGAUAUUAGGAGGAACAUCAGGUGCGAAGGUGACUUACUGGACUGUAACUGACACUGAGGCACGAAAGCGUGGGGAGCAAACAGGAUUAGAUACCCGGGUAGUC
rnacentral:rRNA from 1 species